AACGCACAUUGCGCCCCCUGGUAUUCCGGGGGGCAUGUCCGACCGAGCGCCGCGAACACCGCUCGAGAGGUGCCCUAAGUCUUGGGCGCGCUCUCGGUGUUGGGGCACGCCUCUGCGGCGGCCCUUAAUUCUAGCGGCGGUCGCCUCGAGCGAUUCCCCAGGCGCAGUAGCAUCACUGUCUGUCGUCUAGAGGGGUGUCGAGGACUUGACCUGCUUCCAACUUACGGGGACUCUUUUCCGAGCGUUCUCUCAUGGUUGGCCUCGGGUCGGACAAGAUUACCCGCUGAACUUAA
rnacentral:misc_RNA from 1 species